rnacentral:rRNA from 1 species
UUUUUCGAGCGGUGCUAACUGCAGUCGACGAGAGUUUUUAACUCUAGUGGCGAACGGGUGCGUAAUACGUGAGAAUCUGCCCUUAGGAGGGGAAUAACUGUUGGAAACGACAGCUAAAUCCCCAUAUGCCGAGAGGUGAAAUAGUUUAUACUGCCUAAGGAUGAGCUCGCGCCUGAUUAGCUUGUUGGUAAGGUAAUGGCUUACCAAGGCCACGAUCAGUAGCUGGUUUGAGAGAAUGAUCAGCCACACUGGGACUGAGACACGGCCCAGACUCCUCCGGGAGGCAGCAGUGAGGAAUUUUCCGCAAUGGGCGAAAGCCUGACGGAGCAAUACCGCGUGAGGGAUGAAGGAUUUUGGUCUGUAAACCUCUUUUCUCAAGAAAGAAGUUCUGACGGUACUUGAGGAAUAAGCAUCGGCUAACUCCGUGCCAGCAGCCGCGGUAAUACGGGGGAUGCAAGCGUUAUCCGGAAUCAUUGGGCGUAAAGCGCCUGUAGGUUGUCUAAUAAGUCUGUUGUUAAAGACCAGGGCUUAACCCUGGGAAAGCGAUGGAAACUACUAGGCUUGAGUAUGGUAGGGGUAGAGGGAAUUUCUAGUGUAGCGGUGAAAUGCGUAGAUAUUAGAAAGAACACCGGUGGCGAAAGCGCUCUACUGGGCCAUUACUGACACUGAGAGGCGAAAGCUAGGGGAGCAAAAGGGAUUAGAUACCCCUGUAGUCCUAGCCGUAAACGAUGGAUACUAGGUGUUGUAUUAUUAUACAGUAUCGUAGCUAACGCGUUAAGUAUCCCGCCUGGGGAGUACGCUCGCAAGGGUGAAACUCA